rnacentral:rRNA from 1 species
UACGUAGGGUGCGAGCGUUGUCCGGAAUUAUUGGGCGUAAAGAGCUCGUAGGCGGCUUGUCGCGUCGGAUGUGAAAGCCCGGGGCUUAACUCCGGGUCUGCAUUCGAUACGGGCAGGCUAGAGUUCGGUAGGGGAGAUCGGAAUUCCUGGUGUAGCGGUGAAAUGCGCAGAUAUCAGGAGGAACACCAAUGGCGAAGGCAGCUCGCUGGGACGGUACUGACGCUGAGGCGCGAAAGCGUGGGGAGCAAACAGG